rnacentral:lncRNA from 1 species
CUUAUUUCUUCUUCUGUGAUUUGCUGGUAUGUGUCUGUUUCCCAUCCCCUGCCCCCUUGCCACGUGCCUAUAGAAAAUAAAAGCUCUUCACAUUCUAGAUUAUUAAUGAUUUGUCAAUUAGAUUGCUGCAAAUAGCUUCUCUCAGUCUGUAAUUGAUUAUUUUACACCUUCUGGUAUUGUUUUGGUGAAAAUAAAUCUCAGAUUAUGAUUGUAGACACAUACGUCAAUCUUUUUUUAAUGAAUUUUUUUUUUGCAUCUAUCAAAGAAAUCUCAUUAUACUCUUAGGUUAUAAUGAUAAUUUUCUAUCUUCCCCUACACGUUAAAAAUAAAGUUUUACUUUUGAACUGUCUGUGGAAUUAAUUAAUUAAUUAAUUUUGUAUAGGAUGAGAGGUAGAGAUUCAGUUUUAAUUUUUUUUUUGCCAUGGAUAACCUAUUAUCCUGAUACUAUUUACUGAAUGGUACAUCCUUUUCACACUCAUCAGUGAUGCCACCUCUGGGAAUUCAAGCUGCCAUGUAUUCUUGGCCCUGGUUCUGAGCUCUCAUGUGUAAUUCUAUUGGUCUAAUUGUUCAUCACCACACCUAGUUCACACUGGUUUAAAAACAGUCUUUUAACUUCCACUGCUGCUUUUGAGGAUCCCAAAAUGUUUAUAAUUCCAUUCCCUUUAAUAAUCCAUUCGGCAAAUAAUAAGCACUUGCUAUAUGCCCAGAAAUAGCCCAGGUACUAGACAGAGAGUAUCAAUGACUAAGGUAAAUUUUCCUUGAGAAGCUUACAUUCCAUAGAACAAUCGGAUAAUUAACAAAUAAAUCUAUAAUAUAAUGUUAGACAGUGAUAGAUAAUAUAUAGAAAUUUAAACUAAAUAAGAAGAUAAGAGAGCAAGAACAGCCUAUUUUAUCUUUUUAAAGUUUUUUAAUGUUCAUUUUAUUAUUUUUGAGGGAGAGAGAAACAGCAUGAAUGGGGGAAGGGCAGAGAGAGAGGGAGACACAGAAUCUGAAGCAGGCUCCAGGCUUCAAGCUGUCAGCCCAGAGCCUGACAUGGGGCUCGUACUCACAAACUGUGAGAUCAUGACCUGAGCUGAAGUUGGACACUUAACUGACUGAGCCACCCGGGUGCCCCAAGAACAGCCUAUUUUAAAUAGAAUCAACAGAAAAAGACUCUCUUUGGACAGAAUGCUCAAUUUGAGAAUAAUGAACUGAGAAAACAAGCCAUGUGAUUGUCUGUAGUAAGAAUAUUUCAGGCACGAGGAAGCAAGUACAAAGGCCUAGAGAUGGAAAUGAGUAUCUUUGUGAAACCGAAGUAUGGCUGCUUUUGCUUCAGUGGACUAUACAAGGGGGGAGAAGGAAAAACGAGGCCAGAGAGGGAACCAGAAACCUUAUUUUAGAGGGUUUUGUAGGUUAUAGUAAAGAAUUUGGAUUAUGUUAAAUGUGUUUGGGAGAUUUUGGAGCAAGAGACUGAUAACAAUCAGCUAUACAUGUUAAUAAUAUUGCUCAGGAUGCUGCAUGGAGACCUCUUACAGGAGAGCAAGGUUGGAAGUUGGGGAAGUUUGGAUGUUAAAUAUUCUAGCAACAGAUGGUUUGGCUGAGACUAGGACAGUUGCAGUGGAGGUGGAGAGAAUUAGACUUGCGAUAUAUAUUUAAGUGGAUUAUAUAGGACAUCUGAGAGAAUGUGAAAUAUGUGGACAAUGACUGAAAAGGAGCUUCGUUUUGUGAGCAAUGGUUAGUUUAAUUUCUGAGCUAAGAGAGACUAGGGGAGGAGCAUGUAUGGAGAUACAGGAAAUGAAAACAUUAUUUUUUGGGCCUCUUAAGUUUGAGGUAUCUAUUAGAAAUUCAGAUGGAGACACUGAGCAGGCAGUUGAAUAUCUGAGUUGGAGAUCAGGUGGAAGGCUGGGGCCAAUGGAUAAGGUCACCUAAAUGUGAAUUAAAUUUUUUUUUAAUGUUUAUUCAUUUUUGAGAGAUAGAAUGUGAGCGGGAGAGGGGCAGAGAGAGAGGGAGACACAGAAUCCGAAGCAGGCUCCAGGCUCUGAGCUGUCAGCACAGAGCCCAACGCCGGGCUCGAACUCACAAACCAUGAGAUCAUGACCUGAGCUGAAGUUGGAUGCUCAACCGACUGAGCCACCCAGGAGCCCCGGGUCACCUAGAUGUGAAUUUAAAGAGCAGAAGAUUGGACUGGAACCCUGAGUCCUUCCAAUGUUCAGAGGCAGUGAAGAUGAAGCACAUCCAGCCAAGGAAACUAAUGGAUCCAAUGAAGUCAGAGGCAGACCAAGAAAACAGCUGUCUGGAAGCGGAGUCAAGAAACUGCUUCAAGGAAUGGGUAGUAAAUCCACUGCGUCAGAUGAGCUUCAAAUGUGCUAAUAUCUUAGAGGAGGACGUGUUCCACUCUUACCGAGAGCAGAAAUGAGCAGCGUGAAGGUAAGAUAGAAUAUCUCAGGCAGGAAACCAUUUAGCUGUUUUCCAAGAAAGCAUUCAUUUAGGAAACUCCCUGGAAUAUAUAUCAACAAGAAGUCACAAACUCCAAAGCUGGUACACAUCUCGCCUGUCAUUUGCUCCAAGCAAAUCCAUGACAUAAGGAACAAACUGUUUUAACAAGAAUUGGUCUCUCUUGCAUUUAGAGAAAGGAUUCUCUAUCACUAUCCUUAUUGCCUAAAAAAUAAUAUUAACAUUCCUGUUUUCCUUCCAAGGUCGAAUGACUCCUUCAACUUCUACAUUUUCAUGUUUAAAUAUUUUUUUUCUUUCCAUUAUAUAUUCUCUGCCUAGUGAAAACGAUUUUUUAAAAAUCAGUUGUAGUUCCAUAAAAGUAGUAUAUUUCCUUUCAGAAAGUAUCUUAUAAUUUUGCUUUGAGAGUUUAGUAAGCUCCAAACAGCAUGCAUGGCAUGACACAUAGGAAAUCCAGGUUAGGUAUCAACUCCUCAGCCUGCUGUCUCUUACCUUCCAGUACCUUUCAGUACACAUUCGAUUAUUGCUUUUCCUGUAUACUUGCCGGGCUCAUAGGGAAAUAAGCAAGAACUCAUAAAGUCUCCCAGGCAGUGGGUAGUGGAGUUAGGAGGUCUGUCUAGCUCCAAAUCCCAUACUCGAAUUUCAACUGCUGGAAGUGAAUAUUAUCCACUUAAUUCACAUUCAUUACCUACUUGAUACACUCUUAGUGUUGUCCUCUAAUUUGUUUCUGGACCAAGAGAACACCUCUCAUUCAGAGACAAAAAUCACCACUAUUUUACCCCUACCUCCUUUUAAGUGGAAAAUGACCGGGAGUGUGAACUUUCUGAAGACUAGAUAUUUUGACAAGUCCCUUUCAUAUAAAAAAAGAACAAUACUAGGAAAUAAAUGACAACUUCCUAGGUAAGGUCUUCUAGAAAAGUCCAGUCAUUUUUCAACUUUGGGAAGUUACAUAAACCUUAAAGAAACUAACUUUUAUUCGAAUAAGAAGGGAAACAUUUCAUUACACAAGGUGCCUCAUUCCAGAUUACAAAACCAGGAGUCAAGAAACAGGCUCAUGAGUAGAUUUAGCAAAUUUGAAAAAUAAUGAAAAUAAGAGUACAUGAUAUAAAUAAAGGAUACCAAACCUAAUCUGACCAGUGAAGAUUUGUCAUGUAGAUUGCAAAUUUACUAGAGAGAAUAGGGCCGUUUCAAAAACCAUUAGCCCCAGUGAUCUCAUUCCGUGGGGAUAAUCUACACAAAAGUAACAAGUGAGGACUUGAUCACUCCUCAUAUCCCCAGGCUCCCACCCAUCGGAUAACAUACUGUCUCACCUAAAAGUAUCUUCUAGGGGUGCCUGAGUGGCUCAGUCAUAAGCAGCUGAUCCUUGAUUUUAGCUCAGGUCAUGAUCUCAUGGCUUGUGGGAUUGGGAUUGAGCCCCAUGUUGGGCUCCAUGAUGACAGUGUGGAGCCUGCUUUAAAUUCUCUCUCUCUCUCUCUCUGCCCCUCCUCCCUCGCUCUUGUGCACAUGAGAGCUCGCUCUUUCUCUCUCAAAAAUAAACAAACUUAAAAAAUGUUAAAAAGUAUCUUUUAAUUAAUAGUUUUACUUUGAUCUGAGUAUAAAUUAUAAGGGUGCCUGGGUGGCUCAGUGGGUUGAGUGUCUGACUUUGUCUCAGGUCACGAUCUCACAGUUCGAGUUUGAGCCCCCGGAGCAGGCUCCGCACGGACAGUGUGGAGCCUGCUUGGGAUUCUCUCUCUGUCCUCUUUCUCUGCCCUUUCUCCGCUGGUGCUUUCUAAAUAAAUAAAUAAAUAAAUAAAUAAAUAAAUAAAUAAAAGCCUUGUCUUUUAACCAUUUCAACUUUUGGCACGACUUUAAAAUACACAAUUCUCUUGGCAGGUUGCCAACAGUUGCAUACUGCGGUGACACACACUAGUUUGAGCCGUCGGUAGUGAAAGCUGCAUUUAUGGCAUUCACCUGACAGAUGAUGCUAUGAAUUCGGGGAUUCUAUUUGGUGUUCGGAAUCAAGGGGUAAUGCCAAGGUAAUGUUGCAAAAGUAAAGCAAAUUUUCUGCCAGUGUAUUUUUAAGGGAAAGGCUCGGUGGCUUCGGUAACUCCUCGUUUAUUCAAAUAACUGCUUACAUCGCUGACCUUUGUUUCUUUAAUUUCCAUGAAGCCAUCAUUAAACAUGGAGCAAAGACACCAACUGUUUGUAAUUGGAUACAGUUAGCCACAUCUAUGGUAAGGAGAAAAAAAAAUGCUUGUGGAAUUUUGCACUAAAAACCUGAAGUUCUGACUUAAUCCUGAGCUCUAGUCUAUAUUAACAGAAUGCUUCUUUUUCUCAGUAACCUGAAUGUGAGAUUCAUGAAUGGAGGUUUUCCCUGUUUUACAUUUUUUUAAUGUGUAUUUAUUUUUGAGAGAGAGAGACAGAGCAUGAGCAGGGGAGGGGCAGAGAGAGAGGGAGACACAGAAUCCGAAGCAGGCUCCAGGCUCUGAGCUGUCAGCGCAGAGCCUGACGCAGGGCUCCAAUCCACAAAUGAGAUCAUGACCUGAGCCAAAGUCAGACACUCAACUGACUGAGCCACCCAGGCGCCCCAAUGGAGGUUUUUCUUAAUCUGUGGUUCAUAAAACCUCGCCCCACAUUGCCAAGCACAAAGGAGCCAUUUUUGUUGAAAGAAUAAAUUUGGAAUCUAUUUAUAUAUGUAAAACUUGAUUGAUGAUGAUUGUGGCCAAUGGAUUUUUAAGGAGGACCAAUAGCAAGACCUAAGGGAAUCUAUGAGGGCUGACAAGUGCAUGUAUUCCUCAGAUUUACUAACACCGGCUUAAUAUCCUGGGCACCUGUUCUUUCUAUACAGCAAUAUGUCAUUUCCUGGAUAUUGUUUGUUUUCAUAAAAAUAUAAUGAAAAUCAAUUAUUUUAAAGAACCACUUAUGUCCUAAACCAACUAGGUUAUAUAUUAGUUCUCCAUUGUUGUCUUGGAGAUGUUUGUUUUCUACAUCUGGAUAAAAGCACUACCAUGUUAUUAGGAAAGUUUCAUGAUAUAAAAAAAAAAAAUAAGAUUUCGGUUAAGUGUUGCCCUCUGUGCAAGGAGAAUUAGUUAGGUGGCUGCUUACAGCUCUCCUAAGCAGGAAGCAUGAAGUCAACAUAAAUAGACUGAGCUUAUCAUAGCACAGUAUCCCAGUUCUGACUGACCCUCGUGAGUCAGUGAGGAUCCCGGCCUGUCCUUUCCCAUUAGGCCAUAAUGCACACUCUAGUUAUCUAAAUAUUAAGUGUACAUAUACAAAGCAUCACCUCAAGCACAUAAGAGAGGCAACCGAUUGUUCUCUCAUGGUAUACUAGUUAUUUACAGACUGACCACAUGUUUAUUGAGUGUUAGACUAUGAGCCAGAUGUUAUAUUACAUCGGUUAUGUCUACGAAAUGCCAUUUAAGAAAUUACCAAUAGUUUCUCUGCCCUUAACAGUAGGUGUGUGAAAUGAGACAAUCCAAAAGUUAUUACAGGAACAAGUAAAAUGCUGUUGGUGUCACGAUAGGUAUAAGAUGGCAUGGGGAUUAAGGGAGGAAAUAAAUCACAUUUUAUUUUGAUGACUAGGGAAGCCUAAUAUUGAUUUAGUUGGGCCUUAAAGGUUGAGUAGAAUUUACAGAUGGAAAUUUAAGGAGACAUAUUUUAUGGAAGUAAUUUGUAACUCAUAUAUGGAGGUACUGAUGAGAUAGUUGAAUCAUCUCAUGGCAAAUGAUGAUUCAUCAUAGUCCCUGUUUAUCUCUGGAUAAAGAGAGAAUGUGGCUCUGCCACAGUUUACAAAAUAUUCCUAUACAUUUGCAGAAAUAAUGGAAUCCAUUGCCUAAAUUAUUGAUGUUCUAGGGUGGUUCUGUUAAAAAAAGCAACAACAAAAAAAAACUUUAAUACUUCAAACCAAAUAGUUAUCUAGAGAUUUUCCAAUCCAAGUCUAAUCAUCUCCUAUAUUUAGACUAUUUAAUUGUUCCAAAUCAAGAAGGUUAGGAGAGGAACAGAAGGAUAAUUUGAAUUUAGUCAGUUUUGUUAUUUGUUAGCUCUGGUAAAUGUUCUGGUGCAGAAGGUGAUAGGAAAUAAUGAUCUUCAGUAAUUGUCUAUGGGUAAUGGUAAGUGGCAGAAUGUGGCAUCUGACAGCAGAAUGUUGCAUCUGUGGCUGUUUCUGGGACUCCAAGAUUAUAUUUCUAUAUCAAAAAUAGCUUUAUGUGAGCUCCACGGGUUAAAGAGUCCAUGCACACAUCUGUGUCUUUUAAUUAUCCAUGCUGCAACUGUCCUGCUUUACGAUGAAUAAAUGAGAGCUAUUUUUAAAUCUAUAUUUAUGUUCCCUAAACAGACUCUCCUUGAAAGAAAAAAAAUUGCAGGGCUCCUGAGCACUCUGAAAGAAUUUGCUUUUGUUCUCUGAGUAAAACUUUAAAGUUUCCCUGAUGUUUUCAGUUUAUCUUCUGGCUGUUUACAAUCUGAUCACAGAGUAAAAGUGUUUUCCAGGUCGCAUGUGUUCUAUACCAAUUGACUGAAUCAGUCAAUUCAAUCAGUAUUGACUGAAUAUUCAGAAUCAUUUACUGCUUAAGGCCAAACUGAUAUUCUUUACUGAGGGACAGUAAGAAAAUGGAGAGGUCACCCACAUUUAUUGAUAAGAAGAGAAUAUUUUACGGAUGCCACUUUCCUCAAAUUUAUCUCUUAAAUUGAUAAAAUUAUAACCUAAGUUCUAGUACAGUUACUCGUGGGAUUCGAUAAAUUGAAUUUAACAUUUGUAGUAAAGACCACGGUGCUAAAAUUAGCCCAGACUUUUGCAAAAAAAGGAUGAGGAGGAAAACAAGGGAGAGUUUUCCUUAAAAUAUAUAAAGACAUAGUAGAAAAUUAUAGGUUUUUAAAAAAUUUUAUUGUUUAUUUAUAUUUGAGAGUGAGAGAGAGAGAGUCAUAGCAUGAGAAGCAGAGGGGCAGAGAGAGAGGGAGACAGAGAAUCCAAAGCAGGCUCCAGGCUCCGAGCUGUCAGCACAGAGCCUGACACUGGGCUCGAACCCACGAACCAUGAAAUCACGACCUGAACCGAAGCUGGAUGCUUAACCAGCUGAGCCACCCAGGCACCCCUAGUAAAACAUAGUUCUUAAAAGCAUGUUUUAUGAGCACAGUGAUAGACAGACUGACAAUUGCAACAAAAUAGAAAACCCAGAAUCAAGUCUUGUCUGUCUGGAGUUGUGUCGGUUGACAGAGAGGAUGUACCAUGGUCAACUUCAGGAGUGGGAUUAUUCAACAAAUGAGCUUCAGGUAAUAGUUUAUAGGAAAGAAAAAAACUCUCAACCUCCUGCCAUCAAAAAUCCACUCGAAAUAGAUUAGUAGUUUAUAUUUCAAAGGCAGAAAUUUAAAACUUUUAGAAGAAACUAUGUAUUUCUCAACUUGUUGUAGGGGAUGGUUUCUUAAACAAGAUACAUAAGGGCCAACCACAAAAUAAAAAUAGUAAAUUUUACUUUCCUAAAAUUGAGAACUUUGAAAAAUUGGGUGGCUCACUAUGUUGAGCACCCAACUCUUGAUUUGGGUCGUGAACCCAGGAUCAUAGGAUCCAACCUAACCCCAUGUUGGGUUCUGCACUGAGCACUGAGCUUAAGAUUCUCUCUCUUGCCCUCUGCCCCUCUCCCAAAUUUGUGCAUGUUUUUCCUCUCUAAAAAAAUAAAUAAAUAAUAACUUUUAAUUCUCAAAAGUCACUUUAAACAAAGUAAAUUAAAUCUCUUUUUCUCCUGUUUAGUUCUCAUAUAUUAAUUUAAUUAUUAGAUCAAUCACAGAACCUAGAAGGGAAGAAGGAAAACAUUGUUGGUCCAUUCAAGGAAAAUAGGAGAAUUGCCACUGACAGGGCAAAGAGUAUAAUUUGGAAAAUGAAUUGUGGAAAUAUUAUCAAGAUUCACUGAAAGAUGAAUAAGUGGCAACUGAGAGGAGUGUAUAGAAAACUAUCAGAAGCUCAUGGUUUUCUCCAGUCCUAUCCCCAAACCUGCGAGCGGAGAAUGUACAUGCUGAAGUUUCUAAGUUACAGCUUCAUGAAGCUAGAGGUGGAGUGAGGGGAGAGGCACGGGGGUUCUUGAAGUAUUUGCCAUCAACACCGACUAUGGUAUUUGGACAAGUGAGGAAACCAAAACCGGAGGGGCAUAUGGGCUGGUGAAUAGGCACGGAUUGAGGAAAUAAAAGCUUAAUGUGGACAAACAAUAGGUUUAAUAGUCGUAAGUAAGUCAGAAAGUACAGAAGUUGAGAUCAGAAGAUUGAAGUUUCAAGAGUUCUUCUGAUUGUGAAGACGUGUGAUGAUGUGUUUCCUGUUAAUGUGAGUGAAGGCGGAGGAUUUUGGAACUUUGGAGUUAAAAACUUACAAGUCAAGAAGGUUUGAAGAGCCCCUUAUGAAAUCAGAGGAUUAUGGCUGAGACAUCUUUUUAUGUCACUCUAAGAGGAGCUUUAAAAAUUACCUCUGAAAAGAUAUGAAAAAAAAUUGUAUUUCAGUAUCCCUUCCUUUUAUUUAAUAUGUCUCCACUUUAUUGGUUUUUAAAUGUCAGAGUGGCUCAUUGCCCAAACUUCAAAAUGGGGUUCUCAUUUUGUGGAGGUAACUCAUUACACUUGCAACUGCUUGGUAUGUGUUUGAUUUAAACACAUAAAUCCAGAAUUAAAAUGAAGAUAUUGGCUUAAGAAGGUGGCAUUUGAAAGCAGCAUGAAGAGUGCAGAGGUAUGCAUUUGGGGUGGAAGGAGGUUGCUUGUCUCUUAUCUUGAAGGUAAUUAGAGUUCCCCAAAGACAGAAAAGUCAAUUCAUUCUAAAUCAAAAUAAUUUAGUUGCUAUUGCAUUGAGUAAGCACAAAACCACCAAAAGGAUCUCUAGAAUGGUACAUAUUCUCAUCUUCUACUUAAAAUAAUGUGUAUAGCACUGUCAAAUUACAAGUGUUGAGUAUGUCAAGAAUGUUGACAGAUGAUGACACAUAAUAUGUGUAAAGCUUCUGUCACUACCUUAAUGCUUCAUACAAAAUAAUUAUUUUUAGUAACAAGUCUAUUUAAAAUGAGUUAGCACCUUUUUAAUUUAAAUUUUAAUUAAUUAAUAUACAGUGCAAUAUUGGUUUCAGGAGUAGAAUUCAGUGAUUCAUCAUUUACAUACAACACGCAGUGCUCAUCACAACAUGUGCCCUCCUUAAAACCCAUCACCCACCUAGCCCCUCCCCCACCCACCUCCCUCCGUCAACCCUGUUUGUUCUCUAUCAUUAAAACCAAUAGAGAUUGGUUUGUUUCCCUCUCUUUAUCCCCACCCCUUCCCAUAUAUUUAUGUUUUGUUUUCUUAAAUUCAUAUAUGAGUUAAAUAAUAUUUAUCUUUCUCUGACUGACUUAUUUCACUUAGCAUAAUACAUUCUAGCUCCAUCGACGUCCUUGCACAUGGCAAGAGUUCAUUCUUUUUGACGGCUGAGUAAUAUUCCAUUGUAUAUUUACAUACCACAUCAUCUUUAUCCAUUCAUCAGUCAAUGGACAUUUGGGCUUCUGCUCCAUAGUUUGGCUAUGUUGAUAAUGCUGCUAUACACAUCAGGGUGUAUGUACCCCUUCAAAUCUGUAAUUUUGCAACCUCUGGAUAAAUACCUAAUAGCACAAUUGCUGGAUAUUAGGGUAGUUCUACUUUUAGUUUCUUCAGGAACCUCCACACUAUUCUCCUGAGUGGCUGCAUCAGUAUGCAUUCCCAACAGUGCAAGAGUGUUCCCCUUUCUCCUCAUCCUUGCCAAAACUUGUUGUUUGUUGUGUUGUUAAUUUUAGCCAUUCUGACAGAUGUGAGGUGGUAUCUUAUCAUGGUCUUGAUUUGUAUUUCCCUGACGAUGAGAGAUGUUGAGCAUCUUUUCACGUGUCUGUUAGCCAUCUGGAUGUCUUCUUUGGAAAAGUGUGUAUUCAUGUCUUCUAUCCAUUUCUUAACUGGGUUGUUUGUUUUUUGGAUGCUGAGUUUGUUAAGUUCUUUAUAUAUUUUAGUUGGAUAUGUCAUUUGCGAAUAUCUUCUCCCAUUCCAUCGGAUGCCUUUUAGUUUUCUUGAUUGUUUCUUUUGCUGUGCAGAAGCUUUUUAUCUUGAUGAAGUCCUAACAGUUUAUGUUUGCUUUUGUUUCCCUUGCCUUCAGCAAUGUGUUUAGUAAGAAGUUGCUCUGGCUGAGGUCAAAGUGGUUGCUGCCUGCUUUUUCCUCCAGGAUUUUGAUGGCUUCCUGUCUCACAUUUAGGUCUUUCAUCCAUUUUGAACUUAUUUUUCUGUAUGAUGUUAGAAAGUGGUCCAGGUUCAUUCUUCUGCAUGUCGCUGUCCAGUUUUCCCAACACCAUUUGUUGAAGAAACUGUCUUCUUCCCAUUGAAUAUUUUUUACUGCUUUGUUUUUUUAAAAUUCUUUAAUGUUUAUUUAUAUUCGAGAGAGAGAGAGUGAGAGAGAAAUAGAGAGAGAGAAUGUGGGGGGGGGGGNNNNNNNNNNNNNNNNNNNNNNNCAGGCUCCAAGCUGUCAGCUUGGAGCCCAACACAAGGCUCAAACCCGUGAAGUGUGGGAUCAUGACCUGAGCUGAAGUCAAACACUUAACCGACUGAGCCACCCAGGCACCCCUUCUUUCUUGUUUUGUUGAGGACUAGUUAACCAUGUAGUUCUAGGUCUGUUUUUGGGUUCUCUAUUCUGUUCCAUUGAUCUGUAUGUCUGUUUUCGUGCCAGUACCAUACUGUCUUGAUGACUACAGCUUUGUAAUAUAGCUUAAAAUCUAGAAUCAUGAUGCCUCCAGUUUUGUUUUUCUUUUCCAGGAUUGCUUUGGCUAUUUGGGGCCUUUUGUGGUUCCAUACAAAUUUUAGGAUUGUUUGAUCUAGCUCUGUGAAGAAUGCUGGUAUUAUUUUGACAGUGAUUGCCUUAAAUGUGUAGACUGGUUUAGUAGAGACAUUUGAAAAAUGUUUGUUCUUUAAAUCCAUGAACGUGGAAUGUUUUUCCAUUUUUUUGUGUUCUCUUCAGUUUCUUUCAUAAUUCUCUUAUAGUUUUUAGAGUAUAGAUCUUUUACUUCUUUAGUUAGUUUUAUUCCUAGAUAUCUUAUUUUUUUGGCGCGAUUGUAAAUGUUAUUGGUUCCUUGAUUUCUUUUUCUGCUACUUCAUUAUUGGUGUAUAAAAAUGCAAUAGAUUUCUGCAUAUUGAUUUUAUCCUGCGACUUUGCUGAAUUCAUGUAUUAGUUCUAGCAAUUUUUUGGUGGAGUCUCUCACGUCUUCUACAUCGAAUAUCAUGUCAUCUGCAAAUAGUGAAAGUGUGACUUCUUUCUUGCUGAUUAGUAUGUCCUUUAUUUCAUUUUGUUGUCUAAUUGCUGAGGCUAAGAUUUCCAGUACUAUGUUAAAUACUAAUGGUGAGAGUGGUCAUCCUUAUCUUGUUCCUGACCAAAAAGGAAAGGAUCUCAGUUUCUCCCCACUAAGGGUGAGAUUAGCUGUGGGAAUUUUGUAUAUGUCUUUAUGAUGUUGAGGUAUGUUCCAUCUAUCCCUACUUUGUUGAGAGUUUUGAUCAAGAAUCAAUGCUGUUUUUUGUCAAACGCUUUUCCUGCCUCUAUUGAAAGGAUCAUCUGGUUCUUAUCCUUUCUUUUAUUAAUGUAAUGUAGUACACUGAUUGAUUUGUGAAUAUUGAACCAACCUUGCAGCCUAGGAAUAAAUUCCACUUGGUCAUGGUGAAUAAUUCUUUUACUAUACUGUUGGAUUCAAGUCAUGGUGAAUAAUUCUUUUACUAUACUGUUGGAUUCAAUCUGCUACUAUCUUGUUGAGAAUUUUUGCAUCCAGCUUCAUCAGGGGUAUUGGCCUGUAAGUCUCCUUUUUAGUGGGAUCUUUGUCUCAUUUUGGAAUCAAGAUAAUGUUGUCUUCAUAGAAUGAGUUUGGAAACUUUACUUCCAUUUCUAUUUUUUGGAAGAGUUUGAGGAGAAUAGGCAUUACGUCUUCUUUAAAUACCUAGUAGAAUUCUCCUGGGAAUCCAUCUGGCCCAGGGUUCUUAUUUCUUAGGAGAUGUCUGAUUACUGAUUCAACUUCUUUGCUGUGUGAGGUUUGCAUUUCAGUUAUAGCUUUUUUUUUUAUUUCAGUCUGACUAGUCUUUAGGUCUUUGAUCUCUACAGCAAGGGUUUAUCCGGUGUCUUCUAUCCUUUUUACAAGUUCAGCUAGUAGUCUUAUGAUAGCUGUUCAGAUAUAUUGCUUAUAUAUGUUUUGAGCAAGUCCCUGGCUGUGAUUUCUUCUUGACCUUUCUUUUGGGGAGAAUUCCUCCAUCUUGUCAUUAUGGGUAAGUUUCUGUCUUCCAUUUGUUUUAAAAGCUUGUUAUGUUUCCUGUACCUGGGAGUAAUGCUAUAUUAAAAAGGGGUCAUGCAGUGUCCAAGGCCUGGCACUUCAGGAAGUGGUUUUGGUGUAUGUUGUGUGAACUCUGCUGUUGUGUUUUGGCUUCUCUUUCCCACUGGUAAGUCCUCUGCAGAGCUCCUCCUCACUUACAGUGGGGAGGGUUUGGACUUGUAACUAGGUGUGCUUUGAUUUGUUUGUUAAAGUAAGGCUGGAAAAAGUGGGAAAAGGCCUGAUCCCAAAGAAAGAGAAAAGGAAAGGGAACCAAGGAAACCAAACAGAGAAUAAAAAACUAUAGGGCUGAUUCCAAAGAAAAACAAAAGAAAGAAAAAAAGAAAAAAGAAAGAAAAAGAAAAGGAAAAAAAAGAAGCUUAAUCCAAAAAAAAAAAAAAAGAGAGAGAGAGACAAAAGGAAAUUAAACAAACAAACAAACAAACAACCUAUAAGCCUAUUCGAAAGUAGGCUUAAGAUAAAAAAGAAAAACAAAAAGUAAGCCUGGUCCUAUUUCCACCAGAACUGCAGGUGACACUUUGAAGCACUCUAUUUUCUGUACACUUAGUGGCUGUAGGUGCUGCCUGUGCAGAUCUUCUGGAGGAGAGGCCCACUGCAUUGGCUCAUAGUCAGUCUUGUCCCAGUAAAUAAGCAGUUGCCAGGCACAAGGGAGCAAGGUAUGGUGUCCACGGGUCCCACCUCCACUGGAGGCUGGUGUGUUGCUGUCUGAAGUCUCACCAGGUUAGUGUCACCCCAAUCUCGUGUCCCUGGACAGGGGAUCUUACCCUUCCCUCUCGCCCGCUGUUCAGGCAGCCCUCACAGAAUAGCGAGGGCGGUCAGGUCACCCUGCACCACAGCUUUCCUACAUUUUUUCUUUGGCAUGAAGUUCGGAAUCAAAACUCAAAGUCUUAAAGGACCCAGCACUGUGCAGACUCUCUCCCCUCCUCUGGAUUAGAGCCUCUCCACACUGUGUCAGAAGUCCUUUAUCCUAGAAAUAUAGUCCUGUACCCGCAUGGUGCAUGGACUCUAUCAUGUAGCGCCACUAAAAGCAGCAAUAAGGUUAUAUGCCCUCUGGGCAUGCCUCUGUCCUCUGCCGGUGAAAGGCCUUUUGCUGGCAUCUAUAGAGUCUUUUGUUCUUGGAGAGGAAAGAUCCCCUCUUUCAGAAGUAUUCCGGGAAGGGGAAUGUUCUCUCCCAGUGCGCCCUGGAGAUUCCUACACCACACCAUGCACUCUGGGGCCAGCUUCCUCCUUUUCCUCAGGAGUGCACAGCAGAACUCUACUCCAGAGACAGUCUUGCAUGUUCAAAACCUCCAAGUUUGAGCUCCACCUGCUGUUUGUAAAAAAAUCUGCAAUUCUCAGUACCUCUGGCUCCCCAGUCCAUGGUCCAGAGAGGUAUUUCUCUUGAGUGAACCUGAUGCUACACUCUUUCAACCCCUCUCUCUUUCUCCCCCUUUGUCUCUCCCAUAGAAAGAGUCCCUUGCACCUCCGUGGCACCUCCAUUUUUCUUUUCCCCAGUUCACUUCCAUGCACCUCGCACCUGCCACCCUCUCUCCCUGCAAACGUGGAUAUCAUUUUGCAAGUCUGCAGAUCAAUUUCCUGGGUGUUCCAAGUAAUCUGACUCAAUACAGCUGUGUUUGAGGGUCGAGGAAAGCCCAGGGUCCCUCUAUUUCUCCCCCCCAUCUCAACUCUUCCUUCUAACAUCUUUCUUUUACGUGGAGACAUUUUUUUUUCCCUUACACCAUUCCUUAACCUUACAGCGUCGAGAUUCAGAUUACGAAGAAUUACAAAAAUGUGUUAUGGCCUAUCCCCUGGUAGAGAUUGCUAGACACAAUUGUUGAAGGGCAUGAACUAAUGCAAGAGUGUCUUUAAGAAUUUACACAUCCUGUACAGGACCAGUGUAGCACAUUCUGACCAGAUUGCAAAAGUAGAAUGAAAUAAGCUCAAAUUUGAUAUUUUCCAAAAUAAUGGACAAGUAUCUCAGCUUUAGCAGGCCAUCACUUUUGUGUGUGUGUGUGUGUGUGUGUGUGUGUGUGCGCGUGCGCGCGCCCUGGAUGUUUUGUGUUUUUUUUAUAUUAUAAAGACAAAUCAAAUGUGAAAGAUUUUUAUGGAAUACAUCUUUUUAGUUCUAUGUAACUACACUGUUAGCAUUUGCAAAUGAAUAUGGAAAGUAAAAUAUAUAUAUAUAUUUCACUGAUGAAAUGAAGUGAACAAUUGUAACUGCUAAAUAAAAACUUCAGGGGUGCCUGGGUGGCUCGGUCGGUUAAGUGUCCGACUUUGGCUCAGGUCAUGGUCUCACCGUCUGUGAGUUCAAGUCCCACUUCGGGCUCUGUACUGACAGCUCAGAGCCUAGAGCCUGCUUCAGAUUCUGUGUCUCCCUCUCUCUCUGCCCCUCCCCUGCUCAUGCUCUGUCUCUGUCUCAAAAAUAAAUAAAAACACUAAAAAAAUUAAAAAAACUGCAAUGAAUGUGUGAAUAUCUAUAAAUGCAGACAAACAUAUACUUAAUGAAUUGAAUAAAUUAAAACCCAGAUUUUACAAUCUGGACUUUUCUUCUUUUUAAAUACUUUUUCUUAAUUUAAAUCCAAUUUAUUUAACAUAUAGUGUAAUAAUGAUUUUAGGAAUAGAAUUUAGUGAUUCAUCACUUACAUACAACACCCAGUGCUCAUCCCUACAAGUGCCCUCCUUAAUGCCCAUAGCCCAUUUAGCCCAUCUCCCCACCCAACACCUCGCCAGCAACCCUCAGUUUGCUCUCUGUAUUUAAGAGUCUCUUAUGUUGUAUCCCCUCCCUGUUUUUAUAUUAUUUUUGUUUCCCUUCCCUUAUGUUUAUCUGUUUUCUAUCUUAAAGUCCUCAUAUGAGUGAAGUAAUAUGAUACUUGCCUUUCUCUGACUAAUUUUGCUUAGCAUAAUACCCUCCAGUUCUACCCACAUAGUUGUAAAUGGCAAGAUUAGCAGGCCUCUCUUCAUGUGUAGCUUAACCAUUCAAAUCUAACCCUUUGGACAAAUAUAAUGUACUUAAAAAUAACACAAGUCUUAUUCAACAAUACACAAUGUAUUUCUUAAGCACAGCAGAUACAUACUAUCAUUUGUAGCCUAUCCUCCCCCCCCCCAUAUUCUUUUCAUCUGUGUUCAUUCUUCAUAGACCAUAGCGUCUAGUGACAAAGACAGUAUUAAACAAGUCAAUUAAUUAAUAAUUUAAAAUUAUAAUAAGAGGUAUGAAGAAGACAAAUAAGGCCUUCUGAAACUCUAUAAGAUAGGGUACAUAAUUUAGAUAGAAAGCAGGAAAUAGAUUUCUGAGUAAGAGAUAAACUGAGACUGUAGAAAAAAUAAAAGUUAGUCAUUGGAAACAUAGGGUGAAGUGUUGGAGGAGGGGAACUUGAGUAGUAAUUGAGUGGUCCAGGAAGAAAGAUCAGCAUGUGCAAAGAUCCGAUGGUAGGAGAACACAGAACACACUUGAAAGGAAGUGUAGCAAGGAAGAUAAAUCACAGUAUGUGAUGACGGGAGGAAGCGGGUAGAGCUGGAGGACACAGGUCAAUUAGAGCCAGCUAAGAACCCCAACACAUUCUCUCUUCCACAUAUGAAAUCAUUUUUUGCUCUUCACAACUUCCACACUCAUAUAAUGUUCAACAAGUUCCUUCCUCUUUGGCAGGACAUUCCCUCCCUGUGAAAUCCCCACCACAGAAACCCAUGUGUGUGUGCGAGCGUAUUUUUCUUAGUUAUUAGUAAGCAUGCUGUUGAAAACUGAUGAUACUAGCUCAUAAUUUUAAAGACACAUCACCUGAAUAUUCUUCCUUUCUAAAAUAGUUUGAAAGCCCUCUGCACUGAAUGCGUGUGUGUAUGUAUGUGUAGUGGGUUCAGAAAGUAAAAUGUUUAAUGAAAACUACUUUGGAAUAAAAUUCACCUAUGGUAAAGUUUGUAAACAUCUAUGAAAAAUUUUGGCUGUAAUUAUGUAAAGCAAUUUGGAAAAACCUUCAGAUACUUGAUUUAUAUAAGAAAGUAUUGUUUAAGAACCAAACUGAUUAUCACCACCCGAUCCCUCUAAAGGGAUAACAUAUUUCAUAUUAAAGGAAAAAUAAAUCUCUCCACUACUGCCUUUUAUUCAAAGACUGACAGGGAUGAGAGAAUAGAAUAAAAUGAAAUGUCAAAGCCUCUGCCAGCUUGUCCAUGCUACUGAAUGGGAAGAGGGGGCAUAAAUAGCCCAUUGUUCUAGCAAAGGCAUUGAAUCUUUGGAUACACAAAAUUAUGCCUGGAGUCUUGCCAAGCAUCAUUUAAAGAACUAAAUUGUUCUGGACACGAAGGUGAUUUGAGUAUCUUUGAGGAAACCUAAGGUGAGGGGUAAGAAAAAGGAGAAGGUUGGUUCUAAUGAAAGAGUCUUGAAAAGAAGGGGGGAUGAGCAAUGAGCACCUCCAUGAUAGAAAACCAGUUUGUUCUCAAACCUUUAAUGAGAUAUGCUCUUCCCACAAGUGGUUUGUAUAAAGCUUGUUUUAUUAUGUUUGCGUGUAUGCCUCUGUGUGUGCGUGUGUGUGCGUGUGUGUGUCAGUGUGUGUAUGCCUCUGUAUGUGCACGUGUGCGUGUGCAUGUGAGUGUGAGUGGGUGUGUGUAAAGAAUCUAAUAAAAUAAGGUUGGACUCUAUGUUCACAAAACAGUAAAGGGAAAGUGAUAGCCAAGGACUAUAAGAUUCAAGUAAAAUGUAUAGUUCGGAAGUAAGAAAAAGUCAGAAGCAGAACUAAUUCUAAAACUGGAAGUCCCCUGGAAAUUAACAGAAAUCUUGGGUAAGGCCUUAUAAUAGCAACAGAACUAGGUUGGGACAAUCACAACAUCUUUAAUUUCAAAGAACAAUUGAAUUUCAUCAACUAAUAAACAAUACAAACUCAGAAGCUAGAAUUAAAAUUACCUCUCUGGCCAAAAGAAAAGCUUUUUUUAAGGAUAAAGCACACCUAAUAAUCAUAGGAUUACUUUAUUGUCCUAAAAAUAUAUUUCACUUUCUAUGAAACAGUCCUUGAAGAACUAGUAGCAUAGAUAUAUCUUUGUUUUACAAAGCUAAGCACAGUCUUUCUAUAUGAUCCAACAAUCAUGUCUUAGGUAUAUAUACCCAAAGGAGUUAAAAAGUUAUGUCCACAUAAAAACCUAGCCUACAACCCAGCAAUUGCACCACUCAGUAUUUAUCCAAAGGAUACAAAAUGCUGAUUCAGAAGGGCACAUACACCCCAGUGUUUAUAGCACUGCUAUCCACAAUAGUCAAGUUAUGGAAAGAGCCCAAAUGUCUGUCGACUGAUGAAUGAAUAAAGAAUAGGUGGUAUAGAUAUACAAUGGAAUAUUACUCGAUGAUCAAAAAGAAUGAGAUCUUGCCAUUUGCAACAACGUGGAUGGAACUAGACACUAUUAUGCUAAGUGAACUAAGUCAGUCAGAGAGAGACAAAGACCAUAUGAUUUCACUCACAUGUGGAAUUUAAGAUACAAAACAGCUGGACAUACAGGAAGGGAAGGAAAAAGAAGAUAAAAACAGAAAGGGAACAAAACCAUAAGAGACUCUUAAACACAGAGAAUAAACUGAGGGUUGCUGGAGGAUUCUGGGUGGGAGGAUGGGUGGUGGGCAUUAAGGAGGGCACUUGUUGGGAUGAGCACUGAGUGUUAUAUGUAAGUGAUGAAUCACUAAAUUCUACUACUAAAGCCAUCAUUAUGCUAUAUGUUAACUACCUUGGUUUAAAUAAAAUUUUCAAAAUUCAAAAUAAAUAAAUAAACAUGUAAAUAACUUGCACAUGACUUUUUAUAGCAACUCUAUUUAUAAGUGCCAAAAAUUGACAUUUUAAAAUGGCUGAUAUUUUCUCUGCUCUUACGUAAUUUAUUAUUAUAGAUGUAAUCAUAUAAAAUGUAAGGAUUAAAUGAGGGCAAGCAGAAGAAUAGUGAGACUUAGGAAUGACUUGCCUAUUCAAUGCAUAGGAAAGGAAACGAGGUCCCAGAAAGAACAGCAAAAAAAAUGUUGAACUAGCUAGCUACUGAGCUAUCAUCUUUCUGCUUCAAUCUUUUCCACCCUUUGCACUAAGUGGGUGACUAGUCAACUGUAAAUUGUUGGAGAUUGUUGUCAAUCAUGCAUUACUCUUCCCUUCCAGGUGCUACACAACUAACAAUAAUUACGAGAAGAGAAAUGAGGAUCAGUUUCACAAACGAUAAAUUAGAAAAGGUUUUGGACUUGAAGCCCAAAUGAAGAAUCACCUUAUUCCCUCUCCCUCGACUAAAGAUAACCCUCUUCUACUAAGUGCCUGGAUUACCUAAUCAGA